GGGUGCGAUCAUAUCAGCACUAAUGCACCGGAUCCCAUUAGAACUCCGCAGUUAAGCGUGCUUGGGCGAGAGUAGUACUAGGAUGGGUGACCUCCUGGGAAGUCCUCGUGUUGCACCCC
rnacentral:rRNA from 1 species